AUAAUAUUAUAAUAAGUUUAUAAUAUGUGGCUGCUGGGAUUCGAGCCCAGGUCUCCACGGCCACAACGUGGAAUUCUUACCACUAAACUACAGCCACUUUGUUGUCAACUUUUAUUCAUAAAUUUUAAAUAGUCGUAAAAGAUAAAGGUAUUUUACCGCCUAUCGCGGAUUUUAAGACAGAAGAAAAAGGGAGUACAAAAAAAUUUCGAAAUUCCCAGAAAAAUUCGAAGAAUUCACUGCAAAUUUCUGAGAUGUAUCUGGUGGCAAUUGUUGCAAAGGCGAGAACAUUUGCUUUGGGAAAGCAUUUGUGUGGACGUUAGCUUUGGGAAGGCUUGGGACAACUGAUGUGCUCCAAAAACAGAGGUCAGAAGGCUUGAGUUCUUAGCACAAUUUAUAGCGAGUGUUGUUCACUGUGUAAAUGGCUUGUUACCUUUGGAGAUGACUCUUUGCGGUGUAUAAAGAGGAUUAGGUUUGUCCGUUGUAUAUACAAGAGUGGUUACGAAAUUUUUAUAAGGUGUUGGUAAGUGGAAAAGAGAUGAAGAUGCCUUGGCGAAAUGCUAUUCUGGCAGCUCUGUGGAAAUUAUGGCUGGGACGAAAUGCCCAUAUUUUUUCUGGAGUCCAACAUGAAUUAUUAUGGGACAACUUAAUCCUGUUAGCGUCUUUAUGGGCCAUGGUAGGUGAGGUUUUAAAAGAUUAUUCAAUCAGGGGAUACAGAGGAAUUGGGCUAAUGUGUAAAUUUGUUUAUGUUUUCUUUAUGAGGACACCUUGUCGUCAUGCCGUGCUCUUUCAACUGAUUCAACAAUUUCUUAUUUAAAAAAAUAAUAAGAUUAAGAUGACAAAAUCGGCUCAUAACAUAGCUUCCAAUGGUGUUUUUCUGUUGUCAUAUGCUUAUUUUCUUCUGGGGUUUAGAUUGUGUUUGAAAGUUCAGGAACUCUGGAGAUCAUGCUAGAGAUUGCUAUUUUUUUUUUAUUGCGGCUGUAUUUCAAAAUCUGAGAAACAUGAAGCAGAAUUUGUCUCAAAUUAUAUUGGUUAGGUUCUUUGAAGAGAGAGUUUGAUGACGUUAACUGGAUUCCUUGUGAUGAUGUUUACUGGAUUUUUGUUAGACACUUAGACUUAAAGCGGAGACGCACAUAAUUCUUGGUUGCAUUUUUUAAGGGAAAAUAUAUAUGAUGUUUACUAGACUUUAAAGGGAUACAUGUGGUAACUAUAUUUAUCAGACUUCAUAUACUUCUAAUGGGCCAGAGAGACAGAAAUUAUAUAUGGCUGGUUAUUGGAGUCUACUUGGAGAUGAAGUGUUCAAUAUAUUAUCUACUUAAACUUUUGUUGUUCAUGGAACUUAUCUUAUCUUGAAACUGUAUGCCACUGCUUAAAGGUCUUCUAAGUGCAUCAUGAAUUGUUUGUAAGAAGCUUUAUUUUCAGAUAGCAUAUUAUGAACAUCCCUCUCUGGAUCACCUGUCGUAGUCAAAUGUGAAUGUGAACUCUUCUAUUUAUUAUUUUAUGGUCAGAUUGCUAAGACGAGACAUAAGUUUACUGGUGACUUUUUCUUCAAUGGAAAAGGGAUAAGAUGGGACAGGCUUGGAGCAGUAGUUUCCUCAGAAGAGGCUAAUGAUGGUGAUAAUGUCACGGAGACAUCUUGUACAAUGCUGCGAUCUUAAUGGAAAUGCCACAAGAAGUGUUCCUUUGUUUCUGGACUUUCAAGUAACAUGAGAGCUCAAGUUGAUAGAUGAUUGAUGGUGAUCAUGAUGAGGAUCAACGAUGAUGCAGAGUAGCAGUGAAGAAACCAAUCAACCAUGGGAUUUUUCCCUACUUGCAGCCACGAAAUACCGAAGAAGAAGAGGAGUAAACUAAGAUGGUUCGAGACUUUGAGUAAGAAUUAAGAGGCGGAGGAAAUUAAACCCCCUUUCAGGAAAUCAGCCAAGAGGUGUCCAGAGCUUGGCUAAGCCCACUCAGAGGCUCCGAUUGAAAAUUCGGAGUCGGGCCCUGUUGUUAAGGAACAUCCAGCAAGGUGCUUUGUUUUUGUGGUUGUGAGUAUUGGUUCUCGAUCGAUCGAUCGACUUGCUGAUUAAACAUGAGAUUGAAGAUGAUGACGAUGCAUGGAGUUUAUGGGUUUGAGCUCGGAUGAAUUUUACCGGAAAUGUAAGUUACUUGGGUGUGCACACAAGGUGUUUGAUAAAUUGUCUAUGAGAAAUGUUGUUGAUUAACCUAUGCUUGUUGGGUGUGUUAAUUUGGGGGAUUUGAUUAGUAGGAAGCGUUGAUCCUUUAUUUUAUUUUAUUAAGUGUUGAAUAAUUUGGGUACAAAUGGCUUUGUUAAAUACUUUGAACUGCUAGUUUUUUGUAAAAAGCUAACUUAAAA